CACUAGGAAGCUAAAUCGGGCCUAGCGUCAGCCUUUUAAGCUGAAGAUUGGUGGCCCCCAACCACCCCUAGUGA
rnacentral:tRNA from 1 species